rnacentral:rRNA from 1 species
UUAAGUUAUUAAGGGCGCACGGUGGAUGCCUUGGCACUAGAAGCCGAUGAAGGACGUUACUAACGACGAUAUGCUUUGGGGAGCUGUAAGUAAGCUUUGAUCCAGAGAUUUCCGAAUGGGGAAACCCAGCAUGAGUUAUGUCAUGUUAUCGAUAUGUGAAUACAUAGCAUAUCAGAAGGCACACCCGGAGAACUGAAACAUCUUAGUACCCGGAGGAAGAGAAAGAAAAUUCGAUUCCCUUAGUAGCGGCGAGCGAAACGGGAAGAGCCCAAACCAACAAGCUUGCUUGUUGGGGUUGUAGGACACUCUAUACGGAGUUACAAAGGACGACAUUAGACGAAUCAUCUGGAAAGAUGAAUCAAAGAAGGUAAUAAUCCUGUAGUCGAAAAUGUUGUCUCUCUUGAGUGGAUCCUGAGUACGAUGGAGCACGUGAAAUUCCGUCGGAAUCUGGGAGGACCAUCUCCUAAGGCUAAAUACUCUCUAGUGACCGAUAGUGAACCAGUACCGUGAGGGAAAGGUGAAAAGCACCCCGGAAGGGGAGUGAAAUAGAACCUGAAACCGUGUGCUUACAAGUAGUCAGAGCCCGUUAAUGGGUGAUGGCGUGCCUUUUGUAGAAUGAACCGGCGAGUUACGAUUUGAUGCAAGGUUAAGCAGUAAAUGUGGAGCCGUAGCGAAAGCGAGUCUGAAUAGGGCGUUUAGUAUUUGGUCGUAGACCCGAAACCAGGUGAUCUACCCUUGGUCAGGUUGAAGUUCAGGUAACACUGAAUGGAGGACCGAACCGACUUACGUUGAAAAGUGAGCGGAUGAACUGAGGGUAGCGGAGAAAUUCCAAUCGAACCUGGAGAUAGCUGGUUCUCUCCGAAAUAGCUUUAGGGCUAGCCUCAAGUGAUGAUUAUUGGAGGUAGAGCACUGUUUGGACGAGGGGCCCCUCUCGGGUUACCGAAUUCAGACAAACUCCGAAUGCCAAUUAAUUUAACUUGGGAGUCAGAACAUGGGUGAUAAGGUCCGUGUUCGAAAGGGAAACAGCCCAGACCACCAGCUAAGGUCCCAAAAUAUAUGUUAAGUGGAAAAGGAUGUGGCGUUGCCCAGACAACUAGGAUGUUGGCUUAGAAGCAGCCAUCAUUUAAAGAGUGCGUAAUAGCUCACUAGUCGAGUGACACUGCGCCGAAAAUGUACCGGGGCUAAACAUAUUACCGAAGCUGUGGAUUGUCCUUUGGACAAUGGUAGGAGAGCGUUCUAAGGGCGUUGAAGCAUGAUCGUAAGGACAUGUGGAGCGCUUAGAAGUGAGAAUGCCGGUGUGAGUAGCGAAAGACGGGUGAGAAUCCCGUCCACCGAUUGACUAAGGUUUCCAGAGGAAGGCUCGUCCGCUCUGGGUUAGUCGGGUCCUAAGCUGAGGCCGACAGGCGUAGGCGAUGGAUAACAGGUUGAUAUUCCUGUACCACCUAUAAUCGUUUUAAUCGAUGGGGGGACGCAGUAGGAUAGGCGAAGCGUGCGAUUGGAUUGCACGUCUAAGCAGUAAGGCUGAGUAUUAGGCAAAUCCGGUACUCGUUAAGGCUGAGCUGUGAUGGGGAGAAGACAUUGUGUCUUCGAGUCGUUGAUUUCACACUGCCGAGAAAAGCCUCUAGAUAGAAAAUAGGUGCCCGUACCGCAAACCGACACAGGUAGUCAAGAUGAGAAUUCUAAGGUGAGCGAGCGAACUCUCGUUAAGGAACUCGGCAAAAUGACCCCGUAACUUCGGGAGAAGGGGUGCUCUUUAGGGUUAACGCCCAGAAGAGCCGCAGUGAAUAGGCCCAAGCGACUGUUUAUCAAAAACACAGGUCUCUGCUAAACCGUAAGGUGAUGUAUAGGGGCUGACGCCUGCCCGGUGCUGGAAGGUUAAGAGGAGUGGUUAGCUUCUGCGAAGCUACGAAUCGAAGCCCCAGUAAACGGCGGCCGUAACUAUAACGGUCCUAAGGUAGCGAAAUUCCUUGUCGGGUAAGUUCCGACCCGCACGAAAGGCGUAACGAUUUGGGCACUGUCUCAACGAGAGACUCGGUGAAAUCAUAGUACCUGUGAAGAUGCAGGUUACCCGCGACAGGACGGAAAGACCCCGUGGAGCUUUACUGUAGCCUGAUAUUGAAAUUCGGCACAGCUUGUACAGGAUAGGUAGGAGCCUUUGAAACGUGAGCGCUAGCUUACGUGGAGGCGCUGGUGGGAUACUACCCUAGCUGUGUUGGNUUUCUAACCCGCACCACUUAUCGUGGUGGGAGACAGUGUCAGGCGGGCAGUUUGACUGGGGCGGUCGCCUCCUAAAAGGUAACGGAGGCGCUCAAAGGUUCCCUCAGAAUGGUUGGAAAUCAUUCAUAGAGUGUAAAGGCAUAAGGGAGCUUGACUGCGAGACCUACAAGUCGAGCAGGGUCGAAAGACGGACUUAGUGAUCCGGUGGUUCCGCAUGGAAGGGCCAUCGCUCAACGGAUAAAAGCUACCCCGGGGAUAACAGGCUUAUCUCCCCCAAGAGUUCACAUCGACGGGGAGGUUUGGCACCUCGAUGUCGGCUCAUCGCAUCCUGGGGCUGUAGUCGGUCCCAAGGGUUGGGCUGUUCGCCCAUUAAAGCGGUACGCGAGCUGGGUUCAGAACGUCGUGAGACAGUUCGGUCCCUAUCCGUCGUGGGCGUAGGAAAUUUGAGAGGAGCUGUCCUUAGUACGAGAGGACCGGGAUGGACAUACCUCUGGUGUACCAGUUGUCGUGCCAACGGCAUAGCUGGGUAGCUAUGUGUGGACGGGAUAAGUGCUGAAAGCAUCUAAGCAUGAAGCCCCCCUCAAGAUGAGAUUUCCCAACUUCGGUUAUAAGAUCCCUCAAAGAUGAUGAGGUUAAUAGGUUCGAGGUGGAAGCAUGGUGACAUGUGGAGCUGACGAAUACUAAUCGAUCGAAGACUUAAUCAA